AGGUGCGGAGGGUGGGCGGCUCUCCGAACUGGGGGAUUGCGGAGAGGGUUUCCGGGUCGCAUCCCAGUGAGAAGUGAACGUAGCAGCGCGUUUGAAAAGUGGUCUACGCUUCCGACGGGGGUCUGCGCUUGCACCGCCCGGGAGAGGACCCUGGAUGUGGGAUGUGCGAACGCCUAGAGUGGGUGUCCGCCGCCGUCCUUGAACGACAAUGAAGUGAGCCAACCCUGGGACUUUUAGACGGGAAGGUCCUACCUAGCAGGACAGAAAGCAUGCCUGGGGACAUUGCAGUGGAAUCCAUCUUUUCACUGGUACAAAUACUGCUACAAUGGCCAUCCUUGCAUGUAUCCUUUGUGCCCAGAGCACUGAUCAAUCAAUCAAUCAAUCAGUCAGUCAACAAAUGAAUGCCUCUGGCUGAGAGGAGAAGAGGAAGAUGAAGAGGGGAGAGGAGACGAUUCC